AGUGGAUGGGGAGCAACCUAGUUGUGCGUGUGUAAAGGUAGUGCCAAGAAAAGCGGUGAUCAUGAUGAAAAUCAAUUCCCGGUACCCGAAACCGACACAGGUGGGCAAGUAGAGAAUACUAAGGGGCGCGAGGUAACUCUCUCCAAGGAACUCGGCAAAAUGACCCCGUAACUUAGGGAGAAGGGGUGCCACCGAGAGGUGGUCGCAGUGAAGGGGCCCAGGCGACUGUUUAGCAAAAACAUAGGUCUCUGCAAACUCGAAAGAGGAGGUAUAGGGGCUGACGCCUGCCCAGUGCCGGAAGGUUAAAGAAGUUGGUCAGUCUUAGGAUGAAGCUAGCGACUGAAGCCCCGGUGAACGGCGGCCGUAACUAUAACGGUCCUAAGGUAGCGAAAUUCCUUGUCGGGUAAGUUCCGACCCGCACGAAAGGCGUAACGAUCUGGGCGCUGUCUCGGAGAGAGGCUCGGCGAAAUAGGAUUGUCUGUGAAGAUACGGACUACCUGCAUUUGGACAGAAAGACCCUAUGAAGCUUUACUAUAGCUUGGAAUUGUGUUCGGGCUUCCUGUGCGCAGGAUAGGUGGGAGGCGUAGAAGGUAUUCUUGUGGGGAUACUGGAGCCAACGGUGAGAUACCACUCUCAGGAGGCUAGAAUUCUAACUUAAUUAAGGACAGUUUCAGGUGGGUAGUUUGACUGGGGCGGUCGCCUCCAAAAAGGUAACGGAGGCGUACAAAGGUUCCCUCAGACUGGUUGGAAAUCAGUCGAAGAGUGCAAAGGCAGAAGGGAGCUUGACUGCGAGAAGUACAGUUCGAGCAGGGUGGAAACACGGUCUUAGUGAUCCGACGGUGCUGUGUGGAAGGGCCGUCGCUCAACGGAUAAAAGUUACUCUAAGGAUAACAGGCUGAUCUCCCCCAAGAGUUCACAUCGACGGGGAGGUUUGGCACCUCGAUGUCGGCUCAUCGCAACCUGGGGCGGAAGUACGUCCCAAGGGUUGGGCUUUCGCCCAUUAAAGCGGUACGUGAGCUGGGUUCAGAACGUCGUGAGACAGUUCGGUCCAUAUCCGAUGUAGGCGUGAGAAUAUUGAGAGGAGCCUUCCUUAGUACGAGAGGACCGGGAAGGACGCACCGCUGGUGUACCUGUUAUGAUGCCAAUUGUAAACGCAGGGUAGCCAAGUGCGGAGAGGAUAACCGCUGAAAGCAUCUAAGUGGGAAGCCCACCUCAAGAUGAGUAUUCUGGUGUAAGGUCACGGGAAGACGACCCGUAAAUAGGCACGAGGUGGAAGUGCAGAGAUGUAUGAAGCCGAAGUGUACUAAUAGACCGUCGGC
rnacentral:rRNA from 1 species